AAAGACUCAAUUCCUGAGUUUCCGUAUCCAACGUUUAACCGUCCGUCCUAUUUAAAAAAAUAUGAAAAAAUUUAAAAAGAUAAGUCACACAUAAAGUAUUAUUUAUGUUUUAUCAUCUAACAACAAUGAAAAUAUUAAUUAUAAAAAAAUUCAUAUAAGACGGAUAGUCAAACGUUGGACACGGAAACCUAUGAAUUGAGUCUUU
rfam:Oryza barthii chromosome 1, whole genome shotgun sequence.